CUUUACAUUGAUUUGCUGCUCUAGUCUUUUAGUAAGCAGUUAUACACAUGGGAGAGAACAAUAGGCUGUUGUAAAUGGAGUUGGAGUAACAAUUUCAUCUCUUCUGUGAAGUCCAGAUAUUG